UGCUAGAGAGACGCUGGCGGCGUGGAUUAGGCAUGCAAGUCGAACGGUAUCAUCCUUUCGGGGGUGAGAGAGUGGCGAACUGGUGAGUAACACGUAGGUUAUCUACCCUCAAGACGGGACAACCCAGGGAAACUUGGGCUAAUACCGGAUGUGAGCAACUUUUAGUUGUUUGAAAGGUGGCGUAAGCUGUCGCUUGGGGAUGAGCCUGCGUCCUAUUAGUUAGUUGGUGAGGUAACGGCUCACCUAGGCAAUGAUAGGUAGGCGGCCUUAACGGGUGGUCGCCCACACUGGGAUUGAGAUACGGCCCAGACUCCUACGGGAGGCAGCAGUCGAGAAUAGUCUACAAUGGUCGGAAGACUGAUAGUGCGACGCCGCGUGAACGAUGAAUCCCUUCGGGGUGUAAAGUUCUUUUAUAUGUGAGCAGUGCUUCUUAUAUUAACAGUAUGGGGAGAGAGAUAUUAGCAUAUGAAUAAGCAACGGCUAACUCCGUG
rnacentral:rRNA from 1 species